rnacentral:sRNA from 1 species
AAUACCCAAUAACAACAAAACUU